UACAGAGGGUGCGAGCGUUAAUCGGAAUUACUGGGCGUAAAGGGUGCGUAGGUGGCUAAUUAAGUCAGAUGUGAAAUCCCAAGGCUUAACCUUGGAAUGGCAUUUGAUACUGGUAAGCUAGAGUACAGAAGAGGGAAGUGGAAUUUCCGGUGUAGCGGUGAAAUGCGUAGAUAUCGGAAGGAACAUCAGUGGCGAAGGCGGCUCACUGGCUCGAUACUGACGCUGAGGUGCGAAAGCGUGGGGAGCAAACAGG
rnacentral:rRNA from 1 species